UCUGGGAUUUGGAGCACAAGUCCAGGGUUGCGCUGACCCGAGUAAGAACGGGCCCUCGACAGAGACCACCUUGUGCUUUUAACUGAGGUCUGCGGGGGGGUUGGUUGGCAGCCAGAAACGGACCCAAGAUGCUGAAGACCGCCACGAUGGGAAGGAGGCACCUAGAACCUUUGAGUCUCUCCUUCUUGACCAGGCGGUUGUUGGGGGUGCCCAGGAGUCCUCUGCCGGUGCCGGGGCGAUCCUGUGCUCAGGGGAGCAGGAACCAGGCCUGGCACCCCCUCUGGAAGGGCCCCCUGUCUGUGCCAGGGGGCACGAGGCAGUCCCCCAUCGACAUCAAGUGCAGGGACAGCAUCUACGACAUCAAGCUCCGGCCGCUCAGGGUAGCCUACGACCCGGCGGCCUGCCUCUGCAUCCGGAACACCGGCUACCUCGUCCAGGUGGACUUCGCCGGCACCGCUGAGGGCUCGGGCAUCAGUGGGGGGCCCCUGGAGAACCACUACCAGCUGAAGCAGUUCCACUUCCACUGGGGCUCGGCAGAUGAGUGGGGCUCGGAGCACACGGUGGACAGUCGCGCCUACCCGGCCGAGCUGCACCUGGUCCACUGGAAUUCUGGGAAGUACCCGAGCUACGAGGCGGCCGUGCUGGGCGAGAAAGGCCUGGCCGUCAUCGGCGUGUUUCUGAAGCUGGGUGCCUCGCAUAGGGAGCUGCAGAGGCUCGUGGAAGUCUUGCCGGAGAUCAAGCACAAGGACACCGGGACGGCUUUGGGCCCCUUUGACCCUGCGGGCCUCCUGCCCCCCUGCCCGGAUUACUGGACCUACCCAGGCUCCCUCACCACGCCCCCGCUGACCGAGUCUGUCACCUGGAUCAUCCAGAAGCAGCCCAUCGAGGUGGCUGCGGAGCAGCUGUCUGCAUUCCGCACGCUGCUGUUCUCCUCCCCGGGCGAAGAGGAGAAGGUGAUGGCGGACAAUUACCGCCCACUCCAGCCUCUGAUGAGCCGGACCGUCCAUGCGUCCUUCCCCGUCACUGGGCAGGGCGCGGGCCCCUGAGAGCAUCCCCUCCUCGGUGGUGGACAGAACGGGCCUGUCAGCGGAGGUGCUUCAUGGAGAAACUCCUCUAAGAGGUUUGCGUGUGGCAGGGACCCUAACCCUGCAACAAGGGAUUCCUCUUCUGGAACCAGGCAGGAGCCCUGGGGCCUCGGGACCCAGGACGGUGCCCCUGGCCGAGGGCGCCAUCAGCCCCCUCUGGAUGCGACCACAAGGUGCCUCCCCUCUGCCCUCGCCGCCUGACAGUUCCCUCCUCCUCUCCCAGACUCUGCCUCGGUUUCCCAGGCAACGCACGCCAUCAGAGGUGCACCUUCUUUCAAAGUCCAACCUCCUGGGGUGCAGGGGAACCCGGUGGCCCAGAGUGGGUCCCCUGGUCCCAAUUACUGAUGAGGGGUCCCCCCCCCCCACGCCCAAAUAGAAGAUGGCUAAUCACAUGCCACCUGACGACCCUGGGCUGGGCAGAGUGGCCGGUCAGCCACGCCCGGGGAGGACGCAGUACCUCAGGUAGCCACAGGGGGCAGAGUGAAGCCGGAGAGGUGGGUGGGAGGUGCAGUGGCCCUGGUUCCAAUGGUUACAAGGGCUGCAGGGAGGCAGGUGACCCCGUGAUCAGGGAGCUGGCCGGGUGGGGGUUCUCUGCCGCCUGGUGGGGGGAUUCCUGAAGAGUAAAUGGGGCUCAUAGAUGUGGACCAGGCAUGUGGAGUUUUAGGUCUGAAGAUCAUUUAGCAGACAGGAGCAACUGGGCUGCCCUAAGGCCAGGGGCUGCCCCAGAGAAGGGGAUGGGUGGCCUUUAUCUCAGACCAUAAUUAGAGGCAGAAUGUGACACCAUUCUUUACGCUGAAGCAGUGGCCUGGUAAAUAGCCCCUGUCCUGGGCAAUGCCUGAUGAUGUUGUUUGCCAUAAAGCCACAAACAGGCUUGACUUUGAAGCUUCCAGCUCCAUCCAGGGGUCCAGAGCAUGCUCGAGAAACGCCCAGGGGUGUCACUCUUCUGUUGUCCAUGCUGGAGGGGCCCUCUGAGUCUGGACACAGACUCCACCUGACUGAAGUUCUGCAGGGAGAUGUCCCUGGUUGUCCCCACGUGGCCCUGAGAGCCUGCUGUUGGCCUCUUUGUAAGACCCCGCAGCUGCAGCACGGCUCUGAUAUCACAGAGGCUGCUGUCCAUCUCUGCAUUCACUGGCCCCAGGUUCCAGACGGGCUGUGUCUCCCCACCCCGGCAUCCCCCUGCUCCUUGGAAGCCACCCUGCACAGUCUUCUCAUUGACACGCCCAACAGCCUGGAUCGCGCAGCGUCCUGGGGGUAGAGCGGUGCUCACUGCACACGCCAGCCCCAUGGUCAAGGCAGGUUGGCCCUUUGUGCUCAGAGCUCCUUGGGGGCUAUGGUCGUUACAUCAUCUGGGGUCAAUCUGAGGAUUCGGAGUGUAGGGGUGGCGUCUAGCCUGUCAAUCAGAUCACAGCCAAUGAGGCCUCUGUGUGGGCGUGGCCUUCU